GUGGGGAAUAUUGGUCAAUGGGCGAGAGCCUGAACCAGCCAAGUAGCGUGCAGGAUGACGGCCCUAUGGGUUGUAAACUGCUUUUAUACGGGGAUAAAGUCGAGGACGUGUCCUCGUUUGUAGGUACCGUAUGAAUAAGGACCGGCUAAUUCCGUGCCAGCAGCCGCGGUAAUACGGAAGGUCCGGGCGUUAUCCGGAUUUAUUGGGUUUAAAGGGAGCGCAGGCCGAUGGUUAAGCGUGACGUGAAAUGUAGCCGCUCAACGGCUGCACUGCGUCGCGAACUGGCCGUCUUGAGUGAGUUCGAUGUGGGCGGAAUUCGUGGUGUAGCGGUGAAAUGCUUAGAUAUCACGAAGAACUCCGAUUGCGAAGGCAGCCCACAAGGCCUUUACUGACGCUAAAGCUCGAAGGUGCGGGUAUCGAACAGG
rnacentral:rRNA from 1 species